rnacentral:rRNA from 1 species
GGAGUUAGCCGGUGCUUCUUCUGUGAGUGAUGUCCUUCCUGCCGGCUAUUAACCCGCAGGCCUUCUUCCUCACUGAAAGUGCUUUACAACCCGAAGGCCUUCUUCACACACGCGGCAUGGCUGGAUCAGGGUUGCCCCCAUUGUCCAAUAUUCCCCACUGCUGCCUCCCGUAGGAGUCUGGGCCGUGUCUCAGUCCCAGUGUGGCUGAUCAUCCUCUCAGACCAGCUACGGAUCGUCGCCUUGGUGAGCCGUUACCUCACCAACCAGCUAAUCCGACAUAGGCUCAUCCGAUAGCGCGAGGCCCGAAGGUCCCCCGCUUUCCCCCGUAGGGCGUAUGCGGUAUUAGCCUGGGUUUCCCCCAGGUUAUCCCCCGACUACCGGGCAGAUUCCUAUGCAUUACUCACCCGUCCGCCGCUCGCCACCAGGGAGCAAGCUCCCCGUGCUGCCGCUCGACUUGCAUGUGUUAGGCCUGCCGCCAGCGUUCAAUCUGAGCCCAUACGUACUAACCUAACCUCGUACGUACGUAGGACGGGCCGGUCGGUCGGAACGGACGGCGACUAAG